UCGACCAAACAGGAAUGACAUCCUUAAACCCCGUAUAUCAAUCUGUAAAUCAUAAAAAUCAUAAGACAGCAAAGUUCAAAAUUAUUUCAGAACUUUCCCCUUGCCUAAAAUUUCAUGAAAGAUACAAUAAGAUGGCAAUGACACUGAAACAGCUAGAUCUUGACAUUUCAUUUCAAUAAAAAUUACCAGAUGAGAGAGGUAAAAGCUUACCGGCAUAUAAAAUCAGACUAAGGCUAUAGAGUUAUAACAUGCCAAAAGUGACAGAGGCUUAUAAUGGCACAAGAUAUUCAAUCUGUAUAUGGCAUUUAGACAAAAAUUACCAUGCCAAAAGCGACAAAGGAGAGCCUUAAAAUGGGGAUCAGACCAUGCCAUAAUGGACCCCAAUGACUCCUGAAAGGAUGGCUGAUACUGAACUGAAAACAACAAUAUGCAACACUUUCAGUCCCACCAGGAAGUGGGAAAGAUACUGCUGGUAUACACAAAAGUUACAGUUGAAGUUGUUUGUUUGAGAUGAGAAUUUAAACAAGCCUGAGCAAGCCUUCUGGUGCAAAGGGAUCAAGACACCAACUACGAGCAUCUUUUCAGUCGCCCUGCAUUUGGCGAUCUGUACAGUCCUGGACAGUCAUCCAAGAACAGAUGAACCAGAGAACAAGCUUCUCUGGGUGGUACUUCAAUUGACCUAAGAGACCAACUUAAACAAAACCUAUCUUUGAUCUUAUCCAAACAGGUUGUGUAAAGAGAUGAUUUAUAGCCCAAACUUGCCUUCAUUACAAGAGGGACCUAAGUGCCCUCUUACACCACACUGGACCUGAGAAUAAAAUGCCAAAACUUUUGUCAAAAAAAAAAAGGCUGCAAACCGGUUGUUGUAAG
rnacentral:lncRNA from 1 species